GACGAACGCUGGCGGCGUGCCUAAUACAUGCAAGUAGAACGCACAGUUUAUACCGUAGCUUGCUACACCAUAGACUGUGAGUUGCGAACGGGUGAGUAACGCGUAGGUAACCUGCCUGGUAGCGGGGGAUAACUAUUGGAAACGAUAGCUAAUACCGCAUAAUAUUAAUUAUUGCAUGAUAAUUAAUUGAAAGGUGCAAUUGCACCACUACCAGAUGGACCUGCGUUGUAUUAGCUAGUAGGUGAGGUAACGGCUCACCUAGGCGACGAUACAUAGCCGACCUGAGAGGGUGAUCGGCCACACUGGGACUGAGACACCGCCCAGACUCCUACGGGAGGCAGCAGUAGGGAAUCUUCGGCAAUGGACGAAAGUCUGACCGAGCAACGCCGCGUGAGUGAAGAAGGUUUUCGGAUCGUAAAGCUCUGUUGUAAGAGAAGAACGGGUGUGAGAGUGGAAAGUUCACACUGUGACGGUAUCUUACCAGAAAGGGACGGCUAACUACGUG
rnacentral:rRNA from 1 species